GCCACGUGGUGGACAAGCAGACAUACGGAGGGGAGGAGAGCUUUAAAGAAAGAGUGCAACCCAAUGUGUUGAGGAAAAUGCACCCAGAAAAGAGGUACUAACAGAUAGAAGGGAGAAGAGAAGAAAGGAAAACAAAGUGUACUGACUUCUUUGAGACUGACAUACUGAGAUCUGCAUUGUCUGCACUGUCAGAGACCGUUCCCAACUUCACCCAGGAAAAGAGGCUUAGAUCUAUAGGAUUAUUAACUUCCCAACAAGCCUACAGAAACAGAAAGACAGGUACCCACCCAGCCAAAAACAAAAAAACAAAAAAACAAAAAACAACAAACAUUUAAAAAUGGGGCUUUCAGAAUGACUCAACAUUCAAGAGCAUCCAAGUUCAGUCCCCGAGGACCCAAGUCCAGCUUCCAGCACCCACACCAAGUGGUCAUAGUCCGUAACUCCAGCUCCAGGGUAUCUGAUGCCUCUGCCCUUCAAGGGCUCUCCUACAUGCAGGUGCACGUAUUGAUGGGAAGGCUUACAUCUUUUUUAUCUUUGCAUGUAAUUACAAACAAUAAAUCUUUAUAAAAUAAUUUUUAAAAU
rnacentral:lncRNA from 1 species